UGGAUGUGAUGACUGAUUAUCUGAAGCGCUGAUGAAACGGUUGCCGAAGUCCUCUAGAUAGUCAAGUGCUGAUCCAG
rnacentral:snoRNA from 1 species